GGGGGGGGGGGGAGUGGGAAUGGGGGGGAGCGAUAGAGGAAGAUAGAUAGGGAGAUGGGGAGGCAGACACGUCGAUAGAAGUGUGUGUGCGAGAGAGAGGGAGAGAGACAGACAGACAGGUAGACAGAAGUAUGGGUGUGAGAGAGACAGACAGAUAGACAGAAGUGUGGGUGUGAGAGAAUGACAGAUAGCCAGACAGAGAUAGAGAUAGGGGAGGAGAAUAAGAGAGUAUAAGAUCCUAUGGGUGGUUUGACAAGCUGUGCUGACCUGGUGCCUGAUCAGGAAAACACAGCUAAGUCAUUAUUCCUUUAUCAAGAGAACAAAAAAAAAACUUCCUCGGGGAACGGUGCUGCUGUGCAACCCGUCCUGAGGGCGAGGCUGAAGAGGUGACAGUGAGAAGUCUCCUGAGGAUGAAGCUUUGACUGGAUCUGUAGGGUUGUGGCUGUUGGAGACGUCAGUUCGAGGCGGAGGUGGGACCCUAUUGCUCCUUGACCUUCUUUAUGCUCAAGGGAGGACUGUUUUGCAGUGUUUGGUCACUUGAUCAGCGAAUGAGUAUGGGUCAGUGGCAUGGUUUGAUGCUAUUUUCAACUGGUAUUCAACCAUGGGUUUCAGUGUGCACCAGACAGAGAGAGAGAGAAAGAGAGAGAGAGAGAGAGAGAGAGAGGGAGGGAGGUGGUAAGAAAAAGGAAGUAUGUACAGAAAGACAAAGUGUGUGAGAGAGAGAAAUGAUAUUUAGAUGGGUUUUUAUAUAAUAAUUUUGUCUUAUUUAUAGUUGUUGGCAUUUUAUUAUUUUAUGAAUUGUAAUAUACGAGAUAAAAUUUGCUUUCAUAUUGAA